rnacentral:rRNA from 1 species
UGGCGGACGGGUGAGUAAUGUCUGGGAAACUGCCUGAUGGAGGGGGAUAACUACUGGAAACGGUAGUUAAUACCGCAUAACGUCGCAAGACCAAAGAGGGGGACCUUAGGGCCUCUUGCCAUCGGAUGUGCCCAGAUGGGAUUAGCUAAUAGGUGGGGUAACGGCUCACCUAGGCGACGAUCCCUAGCUGGUCUGAGAGGAUGACCAGCCACACUGGAACUGAGACACGGUCCAG